UACGGAGGAUCCAAGCGUUAUCCGGAAUCAUUGGGUUUAAAGGGUCCGUAGGCGGUUUGGUAAGUCAGUGGUGAAAGCCCUUCGCUCAACGGAGGAACGGCCAUUGAUACUGCCAGACUGAAUUACUGGGAAGUAACUAGAAUAUGUAGUGUAGCGGUGAAAUGCUUAGAUAUUACAUGGAAUACCAAUUGCGAAGGACGAGGU
rnacentral:rRNA from 1 species